rnacentral:rRNA from 1 species
UACGUAGGCAGCGAGCGUUUGUUCGGAAUUACUGGGCGUAAAGAGUGUGUAGGUGGUGCUCUAAGUUCGGUGUGAAAUCUCCCGGCUUAACUGUGGGUCUGCGGUGGAUACGGGCUGGCUAGAGGUAGGUAGGGGCAAGCGGAAUUCCUGGUGUAGCGGUGAAAUGCGCAGAUAUCAGGAGGAACACCGGUGGCGAAGGCGAUCACCUGGGGGUUGUUCUGACGCUGAGGAGCGAAAAGCUAGGGGAGCAAACGGGG